UACGUAGGGGGCAAGCGUUGUCCGGAUUUAUUGGGUUUAAAGGGUGCGUAGGCGGCCUUUUAAGUCAGUGCUGAAAUAUCCCGGCUUAACCGGGAGGGUGGCAUUGAUACUGUAGGGCUUGAGUGUAGUCGAGGUAGGCGGAAUUGACGGUGUAGCGGUGAAAUGCUUAGAUAUCGUCAAGAACACCGAUAGUGUAGACAGCUUACUAGGCUACAACUGACGCUGAGGCACGAAAGUGUGGGGAGCAAACAGG
rnacentral:rRNA from 1 species